UUUCAUAAAAGUCAUAAUAUUACUCUUAUUUUGAUAUUUUACAUAAACGGAAGCAAUAUUUGCAUUAAAACUUCCUGUCUUUGAUUUGGCGGGAGGUUUAGAUUUCGCUUGACAGUGGCCAGUAAACGUGACAUCCACGUGGAUAAACGGAAAAGAGGAAACACCUCCAAAUCAACUGUACAAACAAUCGGCAGAAGUCAAGUCGGACAUUGCAUUGUGCUUUGACACAUGCACACACAUCACUUCCCACCAUGUGCUGCAGGACACGUGUGGUAUUGAGCUCCUCUGUGAAGGGAUCAGGCAGCGGGCAGAGAGUCAGCUCAGGAAACUGUCCCUGCGAACAUAUGGGAUGAAGACUGGCGAUUGAACUUCAGAUGCAGCUAGUAAUUAGAUGACGGCAUCUAAAGCCCUUUUCUUCCCACGAAAAGAAGUCAUUUACAGCAAUGCUAUUAUUAAGGAACCUGCUGCAACAGGUACCAUUAAAUUCAUAUAUGCACAUAGAUUCAGAACUUUACUUUGUACAUAAACCUGUAUGGCCACAUUUUGGAUUUAAGUUUUAACUGAAUCCGUAUUGGCAUAAAAAUCUCAAACCUGGUAAAAAGUGUGUGCUGUGCUGGAAACAAGAUUUCCCGACAGACAGAUUCUCAUUCAGACACCCACAUCGGACAUCACAGCAAUCAGUAAUAAUAAUAAAAGCACACACAGUUUGAAGAUUAGACAAGCCACAGACACACAAUCAGCACCUCAGAACCCGAAUGUCAGCAAGAGAAACUGAAUGCUUUCUGGCUGAAAAGAAAAGCGCUUACAGAGACAAAAAGAGGCUCACAUAGCAGUGCUGAUGAUGUAACGGUGGAAAUGGCUGCUUCAGAUUCCUUGGUCUACUGAUCUCAAGACCACACUCAAAAAAGGUGUUGUGACAGCUCCACUUUAGGUGCUGUUUGAGAAAGUGUGUGAUUUUGACAAACAAUUGUGAAGCACUAUCAUAGAGAACACUCUUACCGCCGCUAUUUACUGUUA